rnacentral:lncRNA from 1 species
AAGCGUCUCAGCUGCCUGAGAGGGAAAUUGAGGCCUAAACAGCCAAAGUGGCAAGCCUUCUAAUAUCAAAGGAAUGACUGACCAUAGUACCCAGUGCAGUGAUCUCUGUCACCAAACUGACAGCCUCUUUGGUUAAUAUUACAGUUUAGGAGAAGAAGUUCGACAGCUUUUCUCAGGUUGAAAAGAAAACAAAACAGAACGAUUUAGUUUGUCCAGCUGCUGUGCUGAGUUACCUUAAAGGCUCAGGUGGUGACAGCAGCGUGUUCAAUGACCUGGAUUUAUUUAUUGCCUGUUUUUAUUGUUACAACCUGGCCAUUCAGUGUCUGGCUCUCAGGGUGACCUGUGGACAUAAUAAGAAUCCAUCCCAAAGGAACUAUUCUCAGUCAACCAGCCUGGUUACUCUACAUGGAAAUCAGUUGAGAAGAACUAAAACUCUAUCUUUGCUUUUCAGAUUGCACUGGGGUCGUGUCUACUUUGGUGUUUUCCUGUGUGGAAGCCUCAGCGGAGUUCUGUGCCUUCAGGAUUCUACCUCCAUGCCAUGUUGACUCUGAAGGGAAGUUGAAAGCAGUCUGUCAAGAAGUGACUGAUGACUGAUGCACAUGGAAAGAGAAACGUCGGCCCGAUGGGCUGCUCCAGAUUAAUGACCUAGAGGUGGCAAGGGACGUUUACACGGCCUCUGAUGCGCCCUUUGCUGUUGCCAUGCAACAAUAUGUCACCGGCUGAUUCACUCAUCUCACUGAAUAAUGAAGUGUCUCUGCAGUAAAGAAAAACC